UAUUAUUUUUUAAUCCUAUUUCAAAAAAAAAAUAAAUCAAAACAAAACAAAACCAGACCACAUUAGGGUUUAGAUUCUUGUUGUCUCAAUUUUCUUAUAUAUGUACCUAUCAUCCCUCACUCACAGUCACACCGCGGCCUCUCUCCUCUCCAUUGCCUCUCUCUUUCGUCUUUCCUAUCAUUUCCCCUCCACGACAGAAGAGACGAAGCCAACAGAGCUAUUCAAGAUCGCCAAUUGAGAACUUAUUCAUUGAGAAUUGAGAUGGGUUUCAGGUGCAGACCCAGAUAAACAACAAAGAUGAUUUUUCUUGGGUCUUAAUCAGUUUUGCAGGGAGAACGUGAGUUUUGUAAUGGAUUACUUGGUUUAAACAUGAAAAUUUAUCUGAAGAUUUACCAAAUGAAUUGUUCAUAUUCAUUUGGAAGAAUAAGCAGAAAAUGAAAAUGAAUUGAAAGUUUAUGAUGCAAAAA